UUGGUCUCAUCCCAAUGAUACAUGCAUCCAUUACAGAUGUGUAGGAGGUGCAGUAACAGAGACACAAAUAACAUGUUCAUCUCAUCCAGACUGUGAUGAUGCUGACAAAAAAUGGGACAAAUAUCGAUGCUGCUAUUCCUGUCCUGACAGAUUGAGACAAUGCAAGGUGAAACGUAAAAUGAUUAGCAUCGGAGAAGGUCAAUGUUCAGCGACCGUUGAGGUGAAAGCAUGUGAAGGAUAUUGUAACUCAUUUGCCAUAUAUGAUCACAAAACAAAUGGCAUGAAACAAACAUGUGAGUGCUGCCAGGAGGAAAAUACUGAGGAAAAACAAAUAACUCUGCAAUGCUCCUUUGGAGGAUCUCAAACAUACACCUACAUUUCUGCCAAAUCAUGCAGAUGCAAAAUCUGCGAAGGUGAAAACGCUUAACGUUGUGAUCUCAAAGCCUUACAACUGGAUAUAAUUUGUGCAACAAAUGUAGAUGUUAAAAUCUGAAACAUUUUUCUUCAUAAUUUCUAUUUGCUUGGUUUUACUUGGUAAUGAGAUAAUGUUGUGAAUUUGAUUUCCUCCCAAUUGCUCCCUUUAAAAUGUGGAAACCUUUCACUUUAUUGUUUGACAGCAAAUUUAAAUCAAUAAAACAUUUUCUGCAUGAA